AACGAACGCUGGCGGCAUGCCUAACACAUGCAAGUCGAACGAGACCUUCGGGUCUAGUGGCGCACGGGUGCGUAACGCGGGGGAACCUGCCCUUAGGUUCGGAAUAACUCCCCGAAAGGGGUGCUAAUACCGGAUAAUGUCUUCGGACCAAAGAUUUAUCGCCUUUGGAUGGGCCCGCGUUGGUUUAGCUAGUUGGUAGGGUAAAAGCCUACCAAGGCGACGAUCCAUAGCUGGUCUGAGAGGAUGAGCCGCCACACUGGGACUGAGACACGGCCCAGACUCCUACGCAAGGGAGCAGUGGGGAAUAUUGGACAAUGGGCGAAGGCCUGAUCCAGCAAUGCCGCGUGAGUGAUGAUGGCCUUAGGGUUGUAAAGCUCUUUUACCCGGGAUGAUAAUGACAGUACCGGGAGAAUAAGCUCCGGCUAACUCCGUG
rnacentral:rRNA from 1 species